AGUGAACGCCGGCGGUAGGCCUAACACAUGCAAGUCGAACGGCAGCACAGUAAGAGCUUGCUCUUACGGGUGGCGAGUGGCGGACGGGUGAGGAAUACAUCGGAAUCUACUUUUUCGUGGGGGAUAACGUAGGGAAACUUACGCUAAUACCGCAUACGACCUACGGGUGAAAGCAGGGGAUCUUCGGACCUUGCGCGAUUGAAUGAGCCGAUGUCGGAUUAGCUAGUUGGCGGGGUAAAGGCCCACCAAGGCGACGAUCCGUAGCUGGUCUGAGAGGAUGAUCAGCCACACUGGAACUGAGACACGGUCCAGACUCCUACGGGAGGCAGCAGUGGGGAAUAUUGGACAAUGGGCGCAAGCCUGAUCCAGCCAUACCGCGUGGGUGAAGAAGGCCUUCGGGUUGUAAAGCCCUUUUGUUAGGAAAGAAAAGCAGCAGGUUAAUACCCCGCUGUUCUGACGGUACCCAAAGAAUAAGCACCGGCUAACUUCGUG
rnacentral:rRNA from 1 species